rnacentral:rRNA from 1 species
AGAGUUAGAUCAUGGCUCAGAUUGAACGCUGGCGGCAGGCCUAACACAUGCAAGUCGAACGGUAACAGGAAGAAGCUUGCUUCUUUGCUGACGAGUGGCGGACGGGUGAGUAAUGUCUGGGAAACUGCCUGAUGGAGGGGGAUAACUACUGGAAACGGUAGCUAAUACCGCAUAACGUCGCAAGACCAAAGAGGGGGACCUUCGGGCCUCUUGCCAUCGGAUGUGCCCAGAUGGGAUUAGCUAGUAGGUGGGGUAACGGCUCACCUAGGCGACGAUCCCUAGCUGGUCUGAGAGGAUGACCAGCCACACUGGAACUGAGACACGGUCCAGACUCCUACGGGAGGCAGCAGUGGGGAAUAUUGCACAAUGGGCGCAAGCCUGAUGCAGCCAUGCCGCGUGUAUGAAGAAGGCCUUCGGGUUGUAAAGUACUUUCAGCGGGGAGGAAGGGAGUAAAGUUAAUACCUUUGCUCAUUGACGUUACCCGCAGAAGAAGCACCGGCUAACUCCGUGCCAGCAGCCGCGGUAAUACGGAGGGUGCAAGCGUUAAUCGGAAUUACUGGGCGUAAAGCGCACGCAGGCGGUUUGUUAAGUCAGAUGUGAAAUCCCCGGGCUCAACCUGGGAACUGCAUCUGAUACUGGCAAGCUUGAGUCUCGUAGAGGGGGGUAGAAUUCCAGGUGUAGCGGUGAAAUGCGUAGAGAUCUGGAGGAAUACCGGUGGCGAAGGCGGCCCCCUGGACGAAGACUGACGCUCAGGUGCGAAAGCGUGGGGAGCAAACAGGAUAGAUACCCUGGUAGUCCACGCCGUAAACGAUGUCGACUUGGAGGUUGUGCCCUUGAGGCGUGGCUUCCGGAGCUAACGCGUUAAGUCGACCGCCUGGGGAGUACGGCCGCAAGGUUAAAACUCAAAUGAAUUGACGGGGGCCCGCACAAGCGGUGGAGCAUGUGGUUUAAUUCGAUGCAACGCGAAGAACCUUACCUGGUCUUGACAUCCACGGAAGUUUUCAGAGAUGAGAAUGUGCCUUCGGGAACCGUGAGACAGGUGCUGCAUGGCUGUCGUCAGCUCGUGUUGUGAAAUGUUGGGUUAAGUCCCGCAACGAGCGCAACCCUUAUCCUUUGUUGCCAGCGGUCCGGCCGGGAACUCAAAGGAGACUGCCAGUGAUAAACUGGAGGAAGGUGGGGAUGACGUCAAGUCAUCAUGGCCCUUACGACCAGGGCUACACACGUGCUACAAUGGCGCAUACAAAGAGAAGCGACCUCGCGAGAGCAAGCGGACCUCAUAAAGUGCGUCGUAGUCCGGAUUGGAGUCUGCAACUCGACUCCAUGAAGUCGGAAUCGCUAGUAAUCGUGGAUCAGAAUGCCACGGUGAAUACGUUCCCGGGCCUUGUACACACCGCCCGUCACACCAUGGGAGUGGGUUGCAAAAGAAGUAGGUAGCUUAACCUUCGGGAGGGCGCUUACCACUUUGUGAUUCAUGACUGGGGUGAAGUCGGAACAAGGUA